rnacentral:rRNA from 1 species
UACGGGGGGGGCAAGCGUUGUUCGGAAUCACUGGGCGUAAAGCGCACGUAGGCGGCUUCUUAAGUCAGGGGUGAAAUCCUGGAGCUCAACUCCAGAACUGCCCUUGAUACUGAGGAGCUCGAGUCCGGAAGAGGUGAGUGGAACUCCGAGUGUAGAGGUGAAAUUCGUAGAUAUUCGGAAGAACACCAGUGGCGAAGGCGGCUCACUGGUCCGGUACUGACGCUGAGGUGCGAAAGCGUGGGGAGCAAACAGG